UGUAAGAAAUGUUGCUCAAUCAACAGAAGCCCUAGAUCAUCACCAUCGCUCGUCUAUCAUCGAAUGUUAUUGAUCUUCUCUUCUCUGCAUCGAUUGCUCGAACAACAGAUAAAUUUUGAUGUCGACUUGUCUUUGAAGAUUGUGGUUGAUGUGAUUGACCUCCAAAUGGGUCGAUCUUUCAAAAAUCACCGAGCAAAGCUGCAAGAGCAUUUUUUAAAAUGCCAUGGCCAGGAGGACGUGGAAAGAGCCAAAGGAAUGAAGCCAACUGACUCGAAUGUUACAAAUGAUGCUUGGCAUAUACUUUGCGAUUACUGGAGUUCAGAGAAGUUUCAUGCUAUGUCAAGGAAAUAUUCUGAGAACAGGGGAAGCGAAAGUAUGUUGCUUUAAACGGUACAGUGAGCACUCCAAAUCACCAUUUUCGAAAUAGAGGAUUGUCGGACAAUCCUCUUAUGGGUGAGAUAGAGACUUUUUGAAAGUUGCAUUAUAGAGAAAAAGAGGGUUGGGUUAAUGACUAUUCUCGCACUUCAUUUGAGAACAGGUAGAGAUUAAGCGGCAAACUGAAUCAACAGAAAAUCAUCCGGGUGAUCUAGAGAUUAUGCAACAAGUCUUAGGCAAAAGACCUGCAAAUAUUCGGGGAUGAUCUAGGUCCCGAGCACUAGGAGCGAUUCUACGAGUUCGCGACAUAGCACCGGUGCGUCAGGUUGAUUGAGCCACACCGAGAUGUCUAAUUUGCUUCAACAGAGUCUGAACUUGCUUCAACCAAAUCAGAGCUCUUUCUUAUGAAGGAUGAAGUCGUUGAGUUGCGACAAAUGGUGAGGUCAAUUGUAUCCAGCCGGUUAGUUCCAAGUUUUUCAUCUUCAUUAAUUGUUCAAGACCAACGUUCGGAGAUUCAAGAUCGUUCAACAUGCUAUGAUGAUUUUGAAUGUUUUUUUGUUGAUAAAUUUAGACGAUAUAUGAACUAGUUGAAUAUUAAAUUUAGAUG